CCCUUAGACGUCCUGGGCCGCACGCGCGCUACAAUGACUCAUGCAACAAGUUCUUCCAAACUCGAAAGAGGUCAGGAAAUCUUUAUAAUGUGAGUCGUACUAGUAGGGAUUGAUCUUUGCAAUUCUGGAUCAUGAACGAGGAAUUCCUAGUAAGCAUAAGUCAUCAACUUGUGCUGAUUACGUCCCUGCCCUUUGUACACACCGCCCGUCGCUCCUACCGAUUGAGUGGUCCGGUGAGGCUUUGGGAUCUGAGCGGAAAGAGCGUUUCGCUGUUUCUGCUCGGAAAACUCAGUCGAACCUUAUCAUUUAGAGGAAGGAGAAGUCGUAACA
rnacentral:rRNA from 1 species